GUAAUCCUAGCUACUCGGGAGGCUGAGGCAGGAGAAUUGCUUGAACCCAGGAGGCAGAGGUUGCAGUGAGCCAAGAUCGUGCCACUGCACUCCGGCCUGGGUGACAGAGCAAGACUCCGUCUUGAAAAAAAAAAAGGGAUCUAUACAGACCUCUAGGUUUUUCCAUUUUUCCUUAUUGCCAUCAGUUCAACCUAUUUGUGAGGGGGUGAUUUUUACUUUGAUUUUGGAACUGAGUGACAUGAAACCAGUCUGACAUCUGGUUCCACUGAAUCCCAAACCCUGGUUUUGAGUGUGGCCCGUUGGAUUCGCCUCUAGGACAUUAAUAUUUAUCACAUUACAAUCAAGCCAUGCUUCCAGGAGCGACUUGUUGACUUAGGAGGUUGAUGACAAGCAGCUCAUUCCAGUGGCAUCUUGUGGAUGGGGCACCGCAUGCUCUGCCAAUGCCUCUCUGCUCCGUGGUUGGGCAUUCUGAUGGCAUUCCUGGGUAUCUCACUCACUAGUGGUAAAGAGGGCAGAAGGCAGAGUGGAUUUUUUUUUCUGCCUUUUGCACACAGACACAGAGCCAGGGAGCCAGGAGAGAGCAGUACCUCCCCUGGCCUCCUAGAUCCUGAGUCCCUCAGAGCCCUCUUUGGAGAAAGAACAUCAGUCUGAUUCUUUUUUUUUUUUUUUAGACAGGGUCUCGCUCUGUCACUCAGGCUGGAGUGCAGUGGUGUGAUCUCGGCUCACUGCAACCUCCGCCUCCCAGGUUCAACCAAUUCUCCCACCUCGGCCUCCCCAGUAGCUGGAACUACAGGGGCACGCCAUGACUCUCAGCCAAUUUUUGUAUUUUUUGGUAGAGACAGGGUUUCACCAUGUUGGCCAGGCUGGUCUCAAACUCCUGACCUCAGGUGAUCUGCCUGCCUCGGCCUCCCAAAGUGCUGGGAUUAUGGGCAUGAGCCAGCGUGCCCAGCCCAUUAGUGCAAUUCAACCAACAUGAAUCGAGCAGAGACUAAAUAGAAGGUUUGGUUUAAAGACAAGUCAGUCUCAGAUCCAGACCCCUGGCUCACGGGGAGACAUAAUUUAGAAAUAAUGCAGGAGGUUACAAUGACAGGGAUGUGUACAGACCAUUAUGAGAAUGCAAAAGAGAAGAGGGGGACAGGUCCCUGAGGGCUUCUUAGAAGGGGUGGCACCUGCCCUGAUGACUUCUGAGAGUUUAUAAGGGGACGAGAGCAGGACAAAGGGAACAGCCCAAGCUAGAAGAUGGUUCAAAACAGCAUGAGCUCCCUGCGGAGCUCAGGGUUAUUGGAGGGCGGGGCCAGCAACAGGACUCAGGGUCAGCAGGAACCAGCUGUGAUGGCUGGCAUGACCAAACUCUAUGCUGUGGGAGGUGGAAGGUCAGUGAUGGUGCUGUGGUCAAAGUCCUAUGUCACCAGAUUGUCCUGGCAGGUGGUUUUGAGGAAAGCAGCAACAGGGAUACCAGUAAAAAGGAAGAGUUAUGCAAACCCAAACUAGGGCAGGGCAGUGUGGAUGGAUAAGAGGGGUGGAUUUGAGGCAUCAAGGAUGUGGAAUUCCAAGGUCGGCUGAUGGAUGAAAUACAGGCCGGAUGAGGAAGAGGGAAGAGUCAAGACGCCCUCCAGUGAGGACCCCCAGAGGGUGGGAGCAAGAAGGCAAUGAGAGUAGGUGGAGGGUUACAAAGGGCAGGAUGACACCUUAGUUUGAGCCAUGCUGAGCCCUGUGGCCCCUGUUGGACUUCUAGGUGGAGAUGUCCCCGGGGAUGGGAUGCCUGAGUCUGAGGAAUUGCAGUGCAAAGAGAAUGGUUAAAACCAGGCAGGGUGUAGUGGCUCAUACCUAUAAUCCCAGCACUUUUGGAGGCUGAGGCGGGCAGAUCACUUGAGGUCAGGAGUUCGAGACCAGCCUGGCCAACGUGGGGAAACCCCAUCUCUACUAAAAAUACAAAAAUUAGCUGGGCGUGGUAGCACACGGCUGUAAUCCCAGCUAUGCAGGAAGCUGAGGCAGGAGGAUCGCUUGAGCCUGGGAGAUGGAGGUUGCAGUGAGCCAAGAGUACGCCACUGCCCUCCAGCCUGGGCAAUGGGAGUGAGACCCUGUCAAAAACAAACAAACAAAAAACCCACACCUGUGCAGAGGUCACCAACAGGAGCAUGAGAAUGGAAAUUGAGGACAGAGGAGAAGCUGCACACCCCUGAGAAGGAAGGGAAGGAGGAGGAGAUCCUGAGAGAGACUGGAAAGGACCAGUCAGGGAGUGAUUAGGAGGGCGUGAGAGAGAAAGGCCACAGGAACCAGGAAAGGGACCACAUGUGAGAAGAACUGCAAAGCUCAAGGAUGUUGGACUGUUUGCCUUGCAAUGUCAGGGUUCAGGACACGUCAGGGCUGUUCUGGAUAGAGUGGCAUUGGAGGAAGUCUCCAUCUAUGCCGCAAAUGUUGAGGCCCCCAAUCUGAAGCAGAGUUCCCCACAGUGAGGCCUCAGACAUCCUGCAGACCACUGGAGAUCUUUUUUAUUUUUAAAGAGAUGGAGUCUUGCUCUGUCCCCCAGGCUGAAGUGCAGUGGUGCAGUCAUGGCUCGCUGCAGCCUCCAACUCUGGGCUUAGGUGAUCCUCCUGCCUUAGCCUCCUGAGUAGCUGAGACUACAGGUGCACACCACCAUGCCUAAUUUUUUAAAUUUGCUUUUUGUAGAGAUGGGGUCUCACUCAAACUCCUGAACUCAAGCAAUCCUCCUGCCUCAACCUCCCAAAGUGCUGGAAUUGCACCGCACCCAUCCCUGGGACACUUAUUUAACGUGAGCACUCCUGAGCCUCAGACUGAAAACUGCUAGUUGAGGGCGCUGGCCUGAAGCCAAGUUCCCGACCUUCAGGAGGUGCAUCCACUGCCCUAAGUGUUCCCCGCUCACCCUCCCAAGCCCCCAGGCAGGCAGCUCCUUGUCAGUGCCUGGCUGAGCUCACCCAGGGCCAGACCCUGGGCCUUGGGCACGCUCUGGGGCUGCCCAUUCAUGCCCUGCCUCUUGCUCAGUUUCCAAGUCUGUUUCAUUUGGGAACAAUCUGCAUGCCCUGCUUCCUCACCCCCACCCUGCCUUCUCACAUGAGCCCCUUUCCAAACAGACACACCAGUUAACUGGAGCAUGGGUGCCUAGCCUAGGACAGAAGCUGGUGAAGGGGAGAUGCUCCUGAGAUGGUCCGGGAGCUCAAAGAACAUCCCACCAUUUGGGCUGGGCCUCCCUCAGCUCCUGAAUUGCCAGCUGGUGCCUGCUUGUAUUUCUUCAUGUAGUUUGAGAGGUGGUGGGGCAGAGUGGUUUAGGCUCUCAGGCUCUGAAGGAUGAUGGCUUGGGUUCUAGUCCCAGCCCUGCACUAGAUGGGCAACCCUGGGCAACUCACUGAACCUCUCAGGACCUCAGUUUCUUCAUCUGUAAAAUGGAGUGGCUGACAAUGGCAGCACCUGCAUGAGAGGGUUGCAGUGAGGACUGAAUGAGUUAGAAUAUGAAGUACAUAGAACAGCGAUGACCUCAACAAGUAUUAGCUGCUAUUACUGUAAUAGUUGGCAGUAGAGUUGGUGGUGGUGGUGGUGGUGGUCAUUGUGGUAGUUAGCAUGGGAAUAGCUCCCUGACCCCAGGGCACCGCCCCCACAGACUUCGGUCCUAUGUUCUGUAUCCAUCUCAGAAGACUGGUGUAUUAGUCCAUUUUUACACUGCUGUAAAUAAAUGCCUGAGACUGGGCAAUUUAUAAGGAAAGAGGCUUAAUUAACUCAUAGUUCCACAUGGCUGAGGAGGCCUCAGGAAGCUUACAGUCACAGCAGAAGGCAAAGGGGAAGCAGGCACCUUCUUCACAAGGCGGCAGGAGACAGCGAGCGAAGAGGGAACUUCCAAGCACUUAUAAAACCAUCAGAUCUCGUGAGAACUCACUCACUAUCAGGAGAACACCACGGGGGGAAACUGCCCCCAUGAUCCAAUCACCUCCCUCCUUCAACACAUGGGGAUUACAGGUCCCCCCAUCAAUACUUGGGGAUUACAGCUCCCUCCAUUGACACGUGGGAAUACAAUCCGAGAUGAGAUUUGGAUGGGGACACAGGGUCAAACCAUAUCAACUGGCAAGAAGCCAGAGCAACUGUGAUCUAUUAGGAUAGAUGAGGCUCCUUGUCCGGGCUGUCUGAGUGCGCGGCCUCCCGAGGGAAGGGCUUUAUUUAGACGAAUUAGAGAGAGAGCCAACGCCUCCUCCCCAACUGGCUUUCAGCUCGUCCCUGGCAUGGGGAUGGUGGGUAAUAGAUGAAGAAGCCACCCAGAGCAUUUAGAUGAAAUUAGUGGUGUCCAAAUCUCGAUUGCCCUCCUAAUCAGGUGAUGAAUGUGGCUCCCCACUGCCUAUUUCCACCUGGCUUCCACGCGGCCUUCCCCAGGCUCUCUCUGCAAGCAGAAUCGCUGCAUUCAGGACUCUCCUCUCUUUCCUUGUGUCGUUUACAGCAUUUCUCUUGCUUAAUGGUGGGGAGCUGGAGUAUAGCUUCCCAUUAACUUUUAUCCUUCCCAUAAACAGCCUGCUUAACUCACGAUGACUGUUGUUCCACUCUGUUCCCAGGGUUUGCUCCGUCUCCCUCCCAGCCAGCCUGUUCUCACUGUGUCCCAGCCCACCAAGCCCCACGCCUUGGCUGUCCUGUGCCUGUGGAAGGAGGGAAGCUGGAUUUUACAUUUUAUUUACUGUUUUUUUUUUUUUUUAAAUGCAAGCAAAAGCCUCAAGCCUUAGCUCCAAAACUCCAGGAGGAAGCUGAGGCUGAGUGAUCUGCGCCUGGGAUUUCAGGAGCUUGGAGCCAGGAGAGGGGGCAAGGGUGCAGGGCGCCUGCUCUGGGACAUGGAUCCUGCCAUGUGGGCAUGGUCUCUGGGACUGACCGGAGGAGGGAGAGACACAGGAGGACAAGUGAGGGCCAGUGGCCAAGGUCCCUAGGCCCUGAGUGAAGUAGUGCAGGGAAGGCCACUUUGGGAGGGUGCUAGUGUCCCUAAGCCAGGACUGCUUUCAGGACGGGGGGAUGGAUGUUUAGUCUGAAGAUGGACAGCGAUGGGGGCACAAGUUAUCCUUGUGGAUCCUCCCUUUCUGCUGCAAGUCAGCAGAAGACCUUGAGUAAGACCCUUUUCCCAGAGCCUGGAUUCUGACUGGCCUCCCUGCCUCCACUCUGUCCUCCAUACUGGAGGGGAACAGACCUUCCUAAAAAGCAAAUCUUAUAUAUCAGAUGGUUAGCUUCACACCCUGAUAUGGUUUGGCUGUGUCCCCACCCAAAUCUCAUCUUGAAUUGUAGCUCCUGUAAUCCCCACGUGUCAUGGGAGGGACCCAGGGGGAGGUAAUUGAAUCAUGGGGGUGGGUUAUUCCUAUCCUGGUCUCGUGGUAGUGAGUAAGUCUCACGAGAUCAAUGGUUUUAUAAAGGGCAGUUCCCCUGCACACACUCUCUUGCCUGCUGCCAUGUAAGAUGUGCCUUUGCUCCUCCUUCACCUUCUACCAUGAUUGUGAGGGCUCCCAGCCACUUGCAACUGUGAGUCCAUUAAACCUCUUUUUCUUUAUAAAUUACCCAGUCUGGGGUAUGCCUUUAUUAGCAGCAUGAGAACAGACUAAUACACACCCCCACAUGGCUCCCUCCAGCUCCCAGGCCCCUGAGGCCCUGCCACCCCUGUCCCCUCCCCCUGGUUCUCUAAUUCGAGCCCCACCAGCCUCCUUUUGCCGCCUCAGACAGGCUCUGACCCCUCUGGGCCUCUGUCUGCCAUAGCUGCUGCAUCUUUACCUUGCUAGUUUUUGCUCCUCCUUCAAGGCGCAGCUGUACUGUGGGUUCCUCUGAGUAGCCUCUCUAACCCGCUUACAGGCUAUCCCAGGCCCCCUCAUGCUACUCAAAGGCAUGGACGGGAUGACUCUGGCACCUUCACCACCAUAGCCAGGGCCUAGCAUGGUGCCUGGCACCCAGCAACCUCUUAAUGUGUCAGCACUGAUUUGAAUUCAGGGUCCUACUAGACAACCAAGUCUGCAGCUGCUCUUCCAGGACUUCAGGGGCCCUCAUGGGGGAGAUGAACUAGACAUUUCUUUGUGAUUCCAUAAGGAAUGGAAGGUACAUGGUCCCAACAUAGCAAAGCUCCUCCUGGAAAGCCACCAGUGGGCAGGACGCAGGCAGGAUGUUGGGUGCCAUGGGGCUUGGGAUGCAGGGCCAUGGACACCAGGUGUGACUGAUUAGCCCAGGAGCGCUGAGGCCGUGCCUAAGCCCAUGAUCUGGCGGCUCCUCACCAAGUGACUGAGAAGCACUAGGGUGCUGGCAAGUGAUGGAGAAUUCUAACCUGGUGCUCCAGACCACAGGUAUGGGAGUGUAUUCGUCCAUUUUCAUACUGCUAUGAAGAAAUACCUGAGACUUGGCAAUGUAUAGAGAAAAAGAGGUUUAAUGGACUCACAGUUCCACGUGGCUGGAGAGGCCUCAUGAUCAUAGCAGAAGGCAAAGGAGGAACAAAGGCACGUCUUACAUGGCAGCAGGCAAGAGAGCGUGUGCAGGGGAAUUGCUCUUUAUAAAACCAUCAGAUCUAAUAGACUUAUUCACUAUCACGAGAACAGCAUGGGAAAGACCCGCCCCCAUGAUUCAAUUACUUCCCACUGGGUCCCUCCCGUGAGACGUGGGGAUUAUGGGAGCUACAAUUCAAGAUGAGAUUUGUGUGGGGACACAGCCAAACCAUAUCAGGGAGGAGGUGAGAGGGAUCUUAAAAACUGGGUUUGAACUUGGUAUCUGGCUGCCCUGGAAGAACUGUUCUCAGCCCUGGAGGUACUCCAGAAAUGCAUGUGUGCUCCCUCAUCCUGGCCUGGUUGCCAGAAAGCACUGGUGACCUGGCAGACCUGGCAGGUGUGUGCCCUCCCAGACACUGGCUCUCUCUACCUCUCAUCUCUCUCUUUCUCUCUCCCUCCAUCCUCAAAUAGAAUAGGGAGGCAGGGAAUCAUAGCAGUGACAGCACUAGUUGUAGGAUCAGACAGAAGCAGGUGAGAGAAUCCUGGCUGUGCUACCUUGGGCAAGUUACUUGCCCUCUCUGAACCUUGGCUUUCUCAUCUGUAAAAUGGGUGUAUAGAAGCUCCCCCUUCAUAAGUUGUUUUUGAAGCUUAAUGAGUAAAUGGAAAGAGCUUAGCACAUGCUUUGCAGGGAAUAUAGUGUUCAACCAAAGCCAACACUUAUUAGUCCAUUAGUCAUGAGGCUCAGGGAAAAACAGGGUUACUUUGCUGGGCCUUCUAAGAGUCAGGGAAGCUCUGCUUCUUUUGGAAGACACAGUAUUAUGGGUAUAUGUGGACAAGGAAGAGUCUGUGUCAGUCCUGAUAGGGGGCAAACCUGGCCUGCUCACUUCUGACAAUAAGACCAGCUGACUCUUUGUUAUUAGAACAGGGCUGAUUAUAACAACAGCAAACAUGUUUUAAGUACAUACCAUGGGACAGGCACAGUGGCAUUUAAAAAAUGCAUACAAUUGUUUAAUCCCCCAAAUCACCCUCAGUUUAUCCCCAUUUGUGAUCCCCAUUUCACAGAUGGGAAAAAUGAGGCACAGAGAAGUGAAUUAGGACCCCAGAUCAUACAGCUAAUAGGUGGUAACAAAGCCAGAACUCAAACCCAAGCAGAAUGACUUCAGAACGUACUGUCUCUAUGCUAUCCAGCCAAAGGAUGAUCAAUAGGUAUUUUAUCAACUAGUAGCUCCUGAAUGGAGCACUGUGUUGAGGAUUCAGACUGUGAUUGGGGAGAAAAGUACUGUGAUUGAUUAGUAAUGUCUGCCAUGGGCUGGGAAGGGGAAGACUCAGUUCUGUGCAGGACAUUUAUUCAUCACCAACCACUGCACUAUUGACAUUUGGAGCUAAAUCAUUAUUUGUUGGGGCAGGGUAGGGAGUCAUCCUGUGCAUUGUAGAAUGUUUAGCAGCAUCCCUGGCCACCAGUUACCAGUAGCACUUCGCCCUGCAACCCCAAGUUGUGACAAUCACAACUGUCUCCAGCCUUUGUCAAAUGUCACCUGGGAGGCAAAAUCACCCCCUGUAGAGAACCUUGCACUAGAGCAGGCAGUGGACCGGGGGUAAAAGAGCUCUAAACUUGAAGUCAGGUGACCAACAGUCAAAGCUUGGCUAUGCCACCAAUCAGCUUAUCACCAUGGAAAUGGCCCUUCACCUCUCCAGGCAGCGAAUUCUUAAUAUGUGAAGUGAGUGGGGUGAAGUGGAUGAUCCCAAGGGUCCCUUCUAGAAGUUUAUGAUUAUCUACUAUGAUGCUCCCUCUCUUGCCCAGCCCCUUCAAUUAAAACUCUCAGGUUAUUGGAGCAUAACUUCCCAGAGAUCUGCAGAGGCAAACCAACGGAAAAGCUGAAAUCUGCAGAGAGCUGUUUCGCCCUUUACAGCUCCAUAGUUGUUCCUCAUUAAAAAAGAAAGAAAGAAAUGAAGAAAGAAACAACAACAACAACAACAACCCUUAGUACUGAGGUUUCAUCCAAGCAGCAGUUAUCCAGUAGAUGCAAGGAGGAAAAUCACAGAGACAAUAACUGAAUACCCAUUUCCCUGUGUUAGGAGAGAAAAGGAGCGAUUGGUUGGGGAAAUCUCUCCGGCUCCGUUUAAUUAUGAAUCUCGGCAGGAAGCCUGGAAAAUCCUGGCCCUCUCUGGAACAAAGUGUUGGAGGAGGCGUGAGGCUGGUGCUGUGGGUUCUUGAAGAACUCGCUGAGCCAGAUGAGACCUCAGAUGAGCACCAGCCACAAGCUUCCACGCAGCAUGGGGCUGGUGCUCAGCAUCCUCAUCCCCGAUACAACAUCCUUCCUUUCCCUGGAGCCCUGUGGUCUCCAGGGAACCCAUGCUUAUUUUCGUGUCUUAGAAAGUGUUGCAGACCUGCGCUGAGACAUGGAGUAGAGCCUGGGCUUUGGAGCCCUGGAAAAACAGGUUGGAAUCUCCCUCCCCCAGUGAAGGUACAGCUGGUUGGGGGUUAGAGUUCUGCCGGUUGCAAGCACAUAAACCAACUUCUCUGACUUGAUCCACAAAGAUGACUUUCUUUUUUUAAGACAGGGUCUCAGUCCUGUCACCUAGGCUGGAGUGCAGUGGUAUGAUCUCAGCUCACCACAGCCUCGACUUCCCAGGCUCAGUUGAUUCUCCCACCUCAACCUCCCACAUAGCUGGGACUAUAAGCGUGCACCACCAUGCCCAGCUAAUUUGUGUACUUUUAGUAGAGACAAGGUCUUGCCGUGUUGUCCGAGCUGGUCUCAAACUCCUGGGCUCAAGCAAUCCGCCCACUUCAGCCUCCCAAAGUGCUGGGAUUACAGUUGUGAGGCACCCUGCCCCAUCCCAAAGAGGAAUGUAUCGGAAGGAUGUGGAAGGGUCCCAAAGGAUGGAAGGGAGAGCUUAACAGCCAAGAUGAAGGAAGGAAAGAGGCAGGAGCCUCCAUAUCUGGCAUCCUGGACCACUCAAGAACACCAUUUUAAAAACUCCCGAAAGUCCCUUAGUCCAUGGGUCUCCUCUGUCUCUGAUCCAAAAUAUACACUUCCAAGAGAACCUCUGAUUGGUCCAGCUUGGGCCAGAGGUCUGCCCAGGAGCCUUGGCUGGGGGCAGGGCCAUGUCAUGCAGGGCCAUGGCGGAAGUUCUGUGUGAAGGACUCAUUCCCAGAGAAAGGGGCUCCCCAGUGGUACACCCCUGAGGACCAUCAGAACCUCAGUAUGGGUGUAGUGCAAGGCAGACGGCCCACUCCCUCUCCAUCCACCUUCUGCCCCUCUGAAUCACCUCACAGGUGCUCACAACACAAGAUUCUUAGAGUCUAGGACCCAGAGUGAUGUCUCUGCUUACCACACGAGCUUUGAUCUCCAGGUUCCAGGUUCACAGAGAGAAUUUGGAGGUAGAAAUGGAUUCUCUCCAAGAAUCCUGCUUCCUAAGGGAACCAGAAUGGGCUGCAGACAGGCCUCGGUCCCCGAGUGGAUUUUGUAUCAGAGUCCAGUGCCGUCUCCCUUCUGCUGAUCACAAAGGUGACCUCUCUCCCAAAUCCUCCACUGGCCCCAUUCCAGGCUGCUCCAUUGAAAGGAAACAGCUUUUCGGACCUUGUAGUUCCCUGGACUGCUAGACACAGGUGGGGUCUUGGGGACAGGGCUCCUGCCCCACUGCCUGGUUCUACAGAUGAGCCGACAGAAGGAACAAUGGGCCCGAGUCACUAUGGAAGCCAUUAUCUUCUGUUGGGUCUGAAACAGUGCAGCUCACGGCCCAGCACUCCUCAGGAUGGCUCUCUCCUUGUGGCUGGCAGAGUGUUGCCUGGAGAGAGUGGGGAUCAUGGAGGAUGGUCUGAAAUCACGUAUCUGAGCAGCCCCCGCAGGGGUGUGUGUUCCCGGAAGUGGACUCCACAACUUCAUCAUCUCAGCUUUGAGCUCAGCCACAAUUUUAGGACAAGAGUCCACAGCCUAACACGCCUCAGACCCCUUCCCCUGUCUUCACGCAUGGCACCACCUAAAAUGAUGCUGAUAUUCA